rnacentral:rRNA from 1 species
GUUGGGGUGACCACGGAGUAUAAAAUAACCUCCAUGAAGAAGGGGAUAUUUCCCUUAUUAGAGAACCACACUUCCAAGAACUAAUAAAUUAAUUUUCAAUGACCCGAUACCCGAUAAUCGAUCAACGAACCAAGUUACCCUGGGGAUAACAGCGCAAUCCACCCUGAAAGCCCUUAUUAACAGGUGGGUUUACGACCUCGAUGUUGGAUCAGGGUAUCCCAGUGGUGCAGCAGCUACUGAGGGUUCGUUUGUUCAACGAUUAAAACCCU